AACCAUUUGCUCCGUGGAUCCGCGUGAAUAACUAAAUUCCUCAUGUACGCCCAAGCGGCCAGUGUGGGAGGGGCACCAGGAGGCAGGCAGGCAUUCUGAUGAUGAAAGAUGGUUGUUGGACUCCAACGGUGGUUGCCUAAUUGUUAGCUGGAGCUGAGUUGCAGGUUGAUUUCAGCUCCAUCCUGGGAAGGAAAGACGUGGCCACAUAGUUCCACCCUUAGUGGUGGGGACAUGAAGCAGAGGCUCCUCCCACCACAGUGGACAAGGAAACAUUGUGGACCAGAGCAAGGGCCCAGAUAGAAGAGAGAACACGUGCAGAGUGGAAUUUAAUGCUUACGAGUGGAAUUACCUAAAGGGACUCUUCUAUGUUUUAUAAAUGAGGUAGCAGAGCCAGAGGGAAGAUAGAAGAAGGGGUAUUUUCUCUCAGAGUCACGAAGCCAACGGCAAACAUUGAUCUCUUGGAACAAAGAAAAAUGUCCCUAUCUGCUGUAAAUAAUUCUCAGAUAUACGAGUUAUUUAAUUAUCUGUCCUUUAAAGUUAAUUCCCCCU